rnacentral:rRNA from 1 species
UACGGAGGAUCCGAGCGUUAUCCGGAUUUAUUGGGUUUAAAGGGUGCGCAGGCGGGAUGUUAAGUCGGCGGUGAAAUUUUGCAGCUCAACUGUAAAAGUGCCUUCGAUACUGGCUACCUUGAGUGUGGAUGAAGUAGGCGGAAUUUGUGGUGUAGCGGUGAAAUGCUUAGAUACCACGAGGAACUCCGAUUGCGCAGGCAGCUUACUAAACCACUACUGACGCUCAUGCACGAAGGCGUGGGGAUCAAAUAGGAUUAGAUACCCU